rnacentral:rRNA from 1 species
GAGGAGCCCGCGGCUGAUUAGCUAGUUGGCGAGGUAAUGGCUCACCAAGGCAACGAUCAGUAUCCGGUCUGAGAGGACGGUCGGACACACUGGAACUGAGACACGGUCCAGACUCCUACGGGAGGCAGCAGUGGGGAAUUUUUGGCAAUGGGGGCAACCCUGACCAAGCAACGCCGCGUGGGUGAUGAAGUCUCUUGGGACGUAAAACCCUUUCGACGGGGAAGAAACCGCAAGGUUGACGGUACCCGUAGAAGAAGCCCCGGCUAACUCCGUGCCAGCAGCCGCGGUAAUACGGGGGGGGCAAGCGUUGUUCGGAAUUACUGGGCGUAAAGGGCGCGUAGGCGGUUCGUUAAGUCGGAUGUGAAAACUCUGGGCUCAACCCAGAGCCUGCAUCCGAAACUGGCGGGCUAGAGUUCUGGAGGGGGUAGCGGAAUUCCUGGUGUAGCGGUGAAAUGCGUAGAUAUCAGGAGG